rnacentral:misc_RNA from 1 species
GAUGAAGAACGCAGCGAAAUGCGAUAAGUAAUGUGAAUUGCAGAAUUCAGUGAAUCAUCGAAUCUUUGAACGCACAUUGCGGCCCUUGGUAUUCCGAGGGGCAUGCCUGUUCGAGCGUCAUUAUAACCCCUCAAGCUCAGCUUGGUGUUGGGGCCUGCUGCACUGGCAGCCCUUAAAAUCAGUGGCGGCGCCAUCUGGCUCUAAGCGUAGUAAUUCUUCUCGCUAUGGAGUCCUGGUGGAUGCUUGCCAUCAACCCCCAAUUUUUCUAUGGUUGACCUCGGAUCAGGUAGGGAUACCCGCUGAACUUAAGCAUAUCAAUAAGCGGAGGA